GUACGGCGAGUGAAGCGGCAACAGCUCAAAUUUGAAAUCUGGCUCUUUUAGAGUCCGAGUUGUAAUUUGCAGAGGGCGCUUUGGCUUUGGCAGCGGUCCAAGUUCCUUGGAACAGGACGUCACAGAGGGUGAGAAUCCCGUACGUGGUCGCUGGCUAUUGCCGUGUAAAGCCCCUUCGACGAGUCGAGUUGUUUGGGAAUGCAGCUCUAAAUGGGAGGUACAUUUCUUCUAAAGCUAAAUAUUGGCCAGAGACCGAUAGCGCACAAGUAGAGUGAUCGAAAGAUGAAAAGCACUUUGGAAAGAGAGUCAAACAGCACGUGAAAUUGUUGAAAGGGAAGCGCUUGCAGCCAGACUUGCUUACAGUUGCUCAUCCGGGUUUCUACCCGGUGCACUCUUCUGUAGGCAGGCCAGCAUCAGUUUGGGCGGUAGGAUAAAGGUCUCUGUCACGUACCUCCUUUCGGGGAGGCCUUAUAGGGGAGACGACAUACUACCAGCCUGGACUGAGGUCCGCGCAUCUGCUAGGAUGCUGGCGUAAUGGCUGUAAGCGGCCCGUCUUGACCACGGACC
rnacentral:rRNA from 1 species